rnacentral:lncRNA from 1 species
AUCUGAGAACCAUACAAGUGGACCUCAACGUUACUAUAAUUGAAUGGCAACACCAACAUCUCUUCAACACAUACAUUCAGAAGUAGAGGAUAUAUAAAUUGAUGUGAUACAUUUCAAACCUCUUAUUGAGCAAGAAAAGACUUGUCGUCAUUAGAAAGGAUUGUGCUUAUAUUAUCGAGAACCUAAGCUCACUACUCAACAUUAUCCAAAGAAACGAUGCAACCAUAAAAUGAAGAAUAUGGCUAUCAAAGAAGAUAGUAUGUCAAAAAAUGAAUUUGUUCAACUACAAUAGAGACCAUGCAGCUGAAACCUUGUACAAUACCUACUGAAGGU